rnacentral:rRNA from 1 species
AGAGUUUGAUCCUGGCUCAGGAUGAACGCUAGCGGCAUGCUUAACACAUGCAAGUCGAGGGGUAUAGUUCUUCGGAACUAGAGACCGGCGCACGGGUGCGUAACGCGUAUGCAAUCUACCUUUCACAAAGGGAUAGCCCAGAGAAAUUUGGAUUAAUACCUUAUAGUAUAUAUGAAUGGCAUCAUUUAUAUAUUAAAGAUUUAUCGGUGAAAGAUGAGCAUGCGUCCCAUUAGCUUGUUGGUAAGGUAACGGCUUACCAAGGCAACGAUGGGUAGGGGUCCUGAGAGGGAGAUCCCCCACACUGGUACUGAGACACGGACCAGACUCCUACGGGAGGCAGCAGUGAGGAAUAUUGGACAAUGGGCGCAAGCCUGAUCCAGCCAUGCCGCGUGCAGGAUGACGGUCCUAUGGAUUGUAAACUGCUUUUAUACAGGAAGAAACACUACUUCGUGAAGUAGCUUGACGGUACUGUAAGAAUAAGGAUCGGCUAACUCCGUGCCAGCAGCCGCGGUAAUACGGAGGAUCCAAGCGUUAUCCGGAAUCAUUGGGUUUAAAGGGUCCGUAGGCGGU